rnacentral:rRNA from 1 species
GACGAACGCUGGCGGCGUGCUUAACACAUGCAAGUCGAACGGAAAGGCCCUGCUUUUGUGGGGUGCUCGAGUGGCGAACGGGUGAGUAACACGUGAGUAACCUGCCCUUGACUUUGGGAUAACUUCAGGAAACUGGGGCUAAUACCGGAUAGGAGCUCCUGCUGCAUGGUGGGGGCUGGAAAGUUUCGGCGGUUGGGGAUGGACUCGCGGCUUAUCAGCUUGUUGGUGGGGUAGUGGCUUACCAAGGCUUUGACGGGUAGCCGGCCUGAGAGGGUGACCGGCCACAUUGGGACUGAGAUACGGCCCAGACUCCUACGGGAGGCAGCAGUGGGGAAUAUUGCACAAUGGGCGGAAGCUUGAUGCAGCAACGCCGCGUGCGGGAUGACGGCCUUCGGGUUGUAAACCGCUUUCGCCUGUGACGAAGCGUGAGUGACGGUAAUGGGUAAAGAAGCACCGGCUAACUACGUG